rnacentral:misc_RNA from 1 species
UCCGGUUUGGCACCGGCAGUCUUCCUAGAGUCCCCGGCAUAACCCGCUGGCAACUGGGGGCGGGGGUUGCGCUCGUUGCGGGACUUAACCCAACACCUCACGACACGAGCUGACGACAGCCAUGCAGCACCUGUGCUGAAGUCCCGAAGGAGGCCCGGCGUCUCUGCCGGGUUUCCUCAGCGUGUCAAGCCCGGGUAAGGUUCUUCGCGUUGCGUCGAAUUAAACCACAUGCUCCACCGCUUGUGCGGGCCCCCGUCAAUUCCUUUGAGUUUUAGCCUUGCGGCCGUACUCCCCAGGCGGGACACUUAAUGCGUUAGCUUCGGCACGGGAGGAGUCGACACCUCCCACACCUAGUGUCCAUCGUUUACGGCGUGGACUAC